rnacentral:rRNA from 1 species
UACGUAGGGUGCGAGCGUUGUCCGGAAUUAUUGGGCGUAAAGAGCUUGUAGGUGGUUUGUCGCGUCUGCUGUGAAAAUCCGAGGCUCAACCUCGGACUUGCAGUGGGUACGGGCAGACUAGAGUGUGGUAGGGGAGACUGGAAUUCCUGGUGUAGCGGUGGAAUGCGCAGAUAUCAGGAGGGAAACACCCGGUGGGCGAAAGG